AGUGAACGCUGGCGGUAGGCCUAACACAUGCAAGUCGAACGGCAGCACAGUAAGAGCUUGCUCUUACGGGUGGCGAGUGGCGGACGGGUGAGGAAUACAUCGGAAUCUACUUUUUCGUGGGGGAUAACGUAGGGAAACUUACGCUAAUACCGCAUACGACCUACGGGUGAAAGCAGGGGAUCUUCGGACCUUGCGCGAUUGAAUGAGCCGAUGUCGGAUUAGCUAGUUGGCGGGGUAAAGGCCCACCAAGGCGACGAUCCGUAGCUGGUCUGAGAGGAUGAUCAGCCACCCUGGAACUGAGACACGGCCCAGACUCCUACGGGAGGCAGCAGUGGGGAAUAUUGGACAAUGGGCGCAAGCCUGAUCCAGCCAUACCGCGUGGGUGAAGAAGGCCUUCGGGUUGUAAAGCCCUUUUGUUGGGAAAGAAAAGCAGCAGGUUAAUACCCCGCUGUUCUGACGGUACCCAAAGAAUAAGCACCGGCUAACUUCGU
rnacentral:rRNA from 1 species